rnacentral:rRNA from 1 species
GGAAUAUUGGUCAAUGGGCGAGAGCCUGAACCAGCCAAGUAGCGUGAGGGACGACGGCCCUACGGGUUGUAAACCUCUUUUUCGCGGGGAUAAAGUGCGCCACGCGUGGCGUUUUGCAGGUACCGCGUGAAUAAGGACCGGCUAAUUCCGUGCCAGCAGCCGCGGUAAUACGGAAGGUCCGGGCGUUAUCCGGAUUUAUUGGGUUUAAAGGGAGCGUAGGCGGCAUGUUAAGCGUGCUGUGAAAUGCGUCGGCUCAACCGCCGCAGUGCAGCGCGAACUGGCUUGCUUGAGUUCGCUGAAGGAAGGCGGAAUUCGUGGUGUAGCGGUGAAAUGCUUAGAUAUCACGAAGAACCCCGAUUGCGAAGGCAGCUUUCCGUAGCGUUACUGACGCUGAAGCUCGAAGGUGCGGGUAUCGAACA